rnacentral:rRNA from 1 species
GAACGAACGCUGGCGGCGCGCCUAACACAUGCAAGUCGAACGAGCGAGAGAGAGCUUGCUUUCUCAAGCGAGUGGCGAACGGGUGAGUAACGCGUGAGGAACCUGCCUCAAAGAGGGGGACAACAGUUGGAAACGACUGCUAAUACCGCAUAAGCCCACGGCUCGGCAUCGAGCAGAGGGAAAAGGAGCAAUCCGCUUUGAGAUGGCCUCGCGUCCGAUUAGCUAGUUGGUGAGGUAAUGGCCCACCAAGGCGACGAUCGGUAGCCGGACUGAGAGGUUGAACGGCCACAUUGGGACUGAGACACGGCCCAGACUCCUACGGGAGGCAGCAGUGGGGAAUAUUGCACAAUGGGGGAAACCCUGAUGCAGCGACGCCGCGUGGAGGAAGAAGGUCUUCGGAUUGUAAACUCCUGUUGUUGAGGAAGAUAAUGACGGUACUCAACAAGGAAGUGACGGCUAACUACGUGCCAGCAGCCGCGGUAAAACGUAGGUCACAAGCGUUGUCCGGAAUUACUGGGUGUAAAGGGAGCGCAGGCGGGAAGACAAGUUGGAAGUGAAAUCCAUGGGCUCAACCCAUGAACUGCUUUCAAAACUGUUUUUCUUGAGUAGUGCAGAGGUAGGCGGAAUUCCCGGUGUAGCGGUGGAAUGCGUAGAUAUCGGGAGGAACACCAGUGGCGAAGGCGGCCUACUGGGCACCAACUGACGCUGAGGCUCGAAAGUGUGGGUAGCAAACAGGAUUAGAUACCCUGGUAGUCCACACUGUAAACGAUGAUUACUAGGUGUUGGAGGAUUGACCCCUUCAGUGCCGCAGUUAACACAAUAAGUAAUCCACCUGGGGAGUACGACCGCAAGGUUGAAACUCAAAGGAAUUGACGGGGGCCCGCACAAGCAGUGGAGUAUGUGGUUUAAUUCGACGCAACGCGAAGAACCUUACCAAGUCUUGACAUCCCUUGACGAUGCUGGAAACAGUAUUUCUCUUCGGAGCAAGGAGACAGGUGGUGCAUGGUUGUCGUCAGCUCGUGUCGUGAGAUGUUGGGUUAAGUCCCGCAACGAGCGCAACCCUUAUGGUCAGUUACUACGCAAGAGGACUCUGGCCAGACUGCCGUUGACAAAACGGAGGAAGGUGGGGAUGACGUCAAAUCAUCAUGCCCUUUAUGACUUGGGCUACACACGUACUACAAUGGCGUUAAACAAAGAGAAGCAAGACCGCGAGGUGGAGCAAAACUCAGAAACAACGUCCCAGUUCGGACUGCAGGCUGCAACUCGCCUGCACGAAGUCGGAAUUGCUAGUAAUCGCAGAUCAGCAUGCUGCGGUGAAUACGUUCCCGGGCCUU